rnacentral:rRNA from 1 species
GAUGAACGCUGGCGGCGUGCCUAAUACAUGCAAGUCGAGCGAACAGACGAGGAGCUUGCUCCUCUGACGUUAGCGGCGGACGGGUGAGUAACACGUGGAUAACCUACCUAUAAGACUGGGAUAACUUCGGGAAACCGGAGCUAAUACCGGAUAAUAUAUUGAACCGCAUGGUUCAAUAGUGAAAGACGGUUUUGCUGUCACUUAUAGAUGGAUCCGCGCCGCAUUAGCUAGUUGGUAAGGUAACGGCUUACCAAGGCAACGAUGCGUAGCCGACCUGAGAGGGGGAUCGGCCACACUGGAGCUGAGGCACGGUCCAGACUCCUACGGGGGGCAGCAGUAGGGAAUCUUCCGCAAUGGGCGGAAGCCUGACGGAGCAACGCCGCGUGAGGGAUGAAGGUCUUCGGAUCGUAAAACUCUGUUAUUAGGGAAGAACAAAUGUGUAAGUAACUAUGCACGUCUUGACGGUACCUAAUCAGAAAGCCACGGCUAACUACGUG